rnacentral:rRNA from 1 species
UUAAGUCCGCCUACCUUUUAAUAUUAAAUUUACACGUUUAAUAAUUCUUAUUGUAACUAACUAGCACUUAUAAAUAUCUGCACCUUGAUCUAGCAUCUUUAAACAUCGCUAUACCAUCUAAAGAUUACCUAAAUAACGAUGUACUUAAAUUAAAUAAGAAAAAUAGAGCCUCGUCUAUUAAGCGCAAGUUCCCCUAAUUUAUAUGAGCCGCCAAAUCAUCUAAUU